GAGCAAUAAAACAAAUAUGAAAUAUCCCCAACUCACAAAUUUCGGUUAAAAGCCAAACACAUUCGCCUAACACACGCACACGUUCAAGCUCCACCUUCAAAUCUACCAGCAAAGAGAGAAAAAAAAAGGAAAGAACUUGAUUUGAGUCCAUAAAGAAAAGGCUUUUUUUUUUUUAAUCUCUAAUUCGUCCAAAUUAAUUUAUUUGGAGAUGCAAUCGUUGUUAUUACCCCAACAUAUUGUUGAAGCACCCAUUAUCAAACCCUAGAAUGCUUCUCUUCUCGUCCUAAUCCUUCCAAGGUUCGUUUUUCUUUUCUCUCUGAUUUUUUUUUAUGUUUCUGGAUAUUUUAAUUCGGGUUUUCAAGGUUCUGAUGAUGAUUUUCGAAUUUGCCCAGCCCUCAUCAAGCUUAUUUGGCGCCCGCGUCUCGGUUGCAAAAGGUGUAAUCCGUCGCGACGUGCUCAUGGCGUUGUCUUCGGGUUCGAUUACCUGGUUUUACGCGCAGGCUGAGUAAGUGCCUUUUUAUUUUUAGAUUUGUUUUGUUACAAUUUUAGGUUAAUUUUGAAGUAGGGUUAAUUGUGUUAAACGCUACCAAACUAUCGUUUAAAUUUUAAAUGGUGGAUAAUUUGCUAUUGAUUAUGAUGGAAAUGACUAUUAAAUGUUUAAAAUUCCUCUUAUUUAAUUGAUGGUUGCUGCUGUUUAAAUGUGUCUGAAUGUUAAUUAUUUGGUUAAUUGCUUCUGUCUAGAUGUUUUAUCGUUGUAAUUGAGGUGCAUAAAUGUUGUUAAUUGUGAUGUUAAAGUGCUGCAAAUUGAAGUAUUAAAGUGUUGUAAAUUAAAGUGUUUAAAUGUUGUAAAUUGAAGUGUCUAAGUACUGCAAAUUGAAGUGUUUAGUUGCUAGAAAUUGAGAUGUUUUGUAUCACCCCUAGCCCGUAACCAUCGCCGAAUUAGAGUUAUGAGGCAUCACCGAUUAAACUAUUAUUCAUACAAACGUUUAUAUAAAAAAAAAUUCAACUCAAGAUUCUGAU
rnacentral:lncRNA from 1 species